rnacentral:rRNA from 1 species
UAGGGAAUCUUCCACAAUGGGCGAAAGUCUGACCGAGCAACGCCGCGUGAGUGAAGAAGGUUUUCGGAUCGUAAAACUCUGUUGGUAGAGAAGAACGUUGGUGAGAGUGGAAAGCUCAUCAAGUGACGGUAACUACCCAGAAAGGGACGGCUAACUACGUGCCCG